rnacentral:lncRNA from 1 species
UGCCCUUGUGCCCACUAUCCUCCCAGGCCACAGUGCAGAACCAUGGUCGGAAGGGUGCUUGAGGUCUGUUUUGUAACAGGACUUUGAAGGCAGCACCAUGGAGCUCUUCGUUUUUAAUGAUGCCAGACAAGGCUAUUAUUGGAAAAAGAAAUGUGAAGCCAAAAAAUUCCUGUACCUUCAUGGUCACUGGAGGCCAAGACUCUCCUUCUUCUUAGAGGAUUUGGAUAUUCUUAAAAAAAAAAAUCAAGCAAUAGCAAAGGGCUCAGUGUCUUUCCUUUAUUUUUUGGAU